CCUACGGGUGGCAGCAGUGAGGAAUAUUGCGCAAUGGGGGCAACCCUGACGCAGCAACGCCGCGUGAGUGAAGAAGGCCUUCGGGUUGUAAAGCUCUGUCAGGCGGGAAGAAAGGCCCUUUAUUUAAUGGAUGAGGGGUUUGACGGUACCGCCGGAGGAAGCACCGGCUAACUCCGUGCCAGCAGCCGCGGUAAGACGGAGGGUGCGAGCGUUGUUCGGAAUCACUGGGCGUAAAGCGCGUGUAGGCGGUAGAAUAAGCCUAAUGUGAAAUCCCGGGGCUUAACCACGGAAGUGCAUUGGGAACUGUUUUGCUUGAGUACGGGAGAGGGAAGUGGAAUUCCUGGUGUAGAGGUGAAAUUCGUAGAUAUCAGGAGGAACACCGGUGGCGAAGGCGGCUUCCUGGACCGAUACUGACGCUGAGACGCGAAAGCGUGGGGAGCAAACAGGAUUAGAUACCCCUGUAGUCUC
rnacentral:rRNA from 1 species